AUGGACCAUUCCAUCCCUUUUUCCCGUGCAUAUGCAUCGGACUCGGAUGACGAUGGUCCCGAUGAACAAGUUGAUGCGGAGGGGUUCACGGUGAAGGAGGCCGAAGCUUUCGAGAAGGUAUUCGGUCGGGAUCAUCGGACUACAUUGUUCAAGGAUGUUAGUCUCGCGGAUGAAGCCGUGGUAGAUGGUGGCCAAUGUGUACCUCUUGGGGUUAGGCCAAGCUCUCACCGUGAUUUGGGAGACGACAAGAACCGGAUUGCUAAAGGUUCUAAGUUCGACACCUUGUUGGAAUUGAAGAUGUGGCUCGACAACUACUCGGUUACGCAUUAUCGUCCACACAAGGUGGUGAACUCGGACGUCAAUGUUCGCUACACGGUUGCAUGUGCAUGUGAAGAUGAAAUAUGUCCGUGGAUUGUGCGUGCAAGACCAUGA
rnacentral:rRNA from 1 species